rnacentral:rRNA from 1 species
GGCGAUUGGGCCGAGUUUGAUCAUGGCUCAGGACGAACGCUGGCGGCAGGCUUAACACAUGCAAGUCGAGCGCUCGUAGCAAUACGAGAGCGGCAGACGGGAGAGUAACACGUGGGAACGUACCCUUCAGUUCGGAACAACCAAGGGAAACUUUGGCUAAUACCGGAUACGUCCGUAAGGAGAAAGAUUUAUCGCCAUUGGAGCGGCCCGCGUUGGAUUAGGUAGUUGGUGAGGUAAAGGCUCACCAAGCCUACGAUCCAUAGCUGGUCUGAGAGGAUGAUCAGCCACACUGGGACUGAGACACGGCCCAGACUCCUACGGGAGGCAGCAGUAGGGAAUCUUGCGCAAUGGGCGAAAGCCUGACGCAGCCAUGCCGCGUGAAUGAUGAAGGUCUUAGGAUUGUAAAGCUCUUUUGUGCGGGAAGAUAAUGACGGUACCGCAAGAAUAAGCCCCGGCUAACUUCGUGCCAGCAGCCGCGGUAAUG